UACGUAGGUGGCGAGCGUUGUCCGGAAUUACUGGGCGUAAAGAGUGCGUAGGCGGAUAUUUAAGUGAGAUGUGAAAUACCCGGGCUUAACCCGGGCACUGCAUUUCAAACUGGAUAUCUAGAGUGCGGGAGAGGAGAAUGGAAUUCCUAGUGUAGCGGUGAAAUGCGUAGAGAUUAGGAAGAACACCAGUGGCGAAGGCGAUUCUCUGGACCGUAACUGACGCUGAGGCACGAAAGCGUGGGUAGCAAACAGGAUUAGAUACCCUGGUAGUCCACGCCGUAAACGAUGAGUACUAGGUGUAGGAGGUAUCGACCCCUUCUGUGCCGCAGUAAACACAAUAAGUACUCCGCCUGGGAAGUACGAUCGCAAGAUUAAA
rnacentral:rRNA from 1 species